rnacentral:rRNA from 1 species
ACUCAAAUGAAUUGACGGGGGCCCGCACAAGCGGUGGAGCAUGUUGUUUAAUACGUCACUAACCGUAGAACCUUACCAGGGCUUGACAUCUAGCGCACCGGGGUGAAAGCCUCGUUCCCCUCUGGGGACGCUAAGACAGGUGUUGCAUGGCUGUCGUCAGCUCGUGUCGUGAGAUGUUGGGUUAAGUCCCGCAACGAGCGCAACCCUCACCCCAUGUUGCUAACGGGCAAAGCCGAGAACUCUUGGGGAACUGCCGGGGUAACUCGGAGGAAGGUGGGGAUGAUGUCAAGUCAGCAUGGCCCUUACGCCCUGGGCUACAAACAUGCUACAAUGGAGGGUAGACAGACCGACCCGAAGCCGCGAGGUGGAGGCAAUCGGGCAAAUCCGUCCUCAGUUCGGAUCGCAGGCUGCAACUCGCCUGCGUGAAGUCGGAAUCGCUAGUAACCGCCGGUCAGCCAAACGGCGGUGAAUACGUUCCCGGGCCUUGUACACACCGCCCGU